rnacentral:rRNA from 1 species
CCUACGGGCGGCUGCAGUGGGGAAUAUUGGACAAUGGGGGCAACCCUGAUCCAGCCAUGCCGCGUGUGUGAAGAAGGCCCUCGGGUUGUAAAGCACUUUCAGUGAGGAAGAACGCCUGGUGGUUAAUACCCAUCAGGAAAGACAUCACUCACAGAAGAAGCACCGGCUAACUCCGUGCCAGCAGCCGCGGUAAUACGGAGGGUGCGAGCGUUAAUCGGAAUUACUGGGCGUAAAGCGCGCGUAGGUGGCUUGAUAAGCCGGUUGUGAAAGCCCCGGGCUCAACCUGGGAACGGCAUCCGGAACUGUGAAGCUAGAGUGCAGGAGAGGAAGGUAGAAUUCCCGGUGUAGCGGUGAAAUGCGUAGAGAUCGGGAGGAAUACCAGUGGCGAAGGCGGCGUUCUGGACUGACACUGACACUGAGGUGCGAAAGCGUGGGUAGCAAACAGGAUUAGAUACCCGAGUAGUC